GGUGUGUCCCAUGCCACGGCCGGGACCGCAGCUCUCCCUGCCCUGGCAGCCUGCAGAGCUCCAGGCAUUAUUAACCCUUCUUCGCGGACGAGGAGACCGAGGCCCAGAGGGGAUGAGCAAUUUGCCCGGGGCAUACAGCAUGGCGAGUGACAGAGCUGGCUGGCACCAAAGCUGUCCUAUAGAUGACCGUCUGUCCUUCGAGGUCACCCCCUGGGGGGAGUUGUCUUAGAACCCACGCCUGGCACAGAGCUGGGCACUGUGUGCACACGGGAGCCAGAGACAAAGGCUCCUCGGAGAUCACAUGGCCAGGACUGACUCUGAAGCCCCGGGAACUUCUACCCGCUACACAGCCCUUGGGGCUGGACAUGACCUUGGACCUCACCACCCUGCCCUGUGGGGCACAUCCGACGCAGGGCCAGCAGGCUGCCUCUCAGGAGGGGAGUCGCACUGACCCCAGACAGCUCUUGACACUGUAGGAUCCCUGCUGCCCCUGAAUGUCCCUUGGGCGGAACCCGAGACAUUCAUUCCAGAGCCUCCAACAGGCACGCUCGCUACACAGGAAGAAACUAAGGCCUACAGAAGCGAAGGGCGCAGUCCACAGCCACAGCACCGGGCCUGAACCAAACUGAACUCUAGACUCUGACCCCAACCAUCUUGGCCCUGGGGCCCCAGCAGAGCUGAGCAGCUGGGGGUGGGGUGGGGCAGCACAGGGCCAGCUGCUGCAGAAGGGCCAGAGCCACAGCUUCUAGAAUUCAGCCCCUUGCUCACGACACGUCAGGGGCCUCUGUGGCCCCUGGAUAAGCCUCUGCACCAGUCGUCCGAUGACUCCCAUCCCCAGCAUCCCCCGACGCGGAUGUCCCCCACCCAUGCCAGGCUCUCCCUAGCUUCCAGACUGGGCACCUGCAGCCCCUUCACCCCUGAUAGGUCCGUUCAGCCCUCAUGUCUGCCCCGACUAGAGGGGC